GUUUUUGAAGUGCGCGUGGAAGGAAGAAACUUCUGCCCGAGUUGUAAAGGCUGGCUCGAGGCCUCUGCGCUCCAUUCCAGCGAGGGUUCCUCCCUAUCUUUUCCUCCUCCUCCUCCAGCCUCAGUCCCCUUCUUGUCCCAGUGAACGUUUUAUAGCGGUUUUCUUUGCAGGGAUGCCUAUUCCGUCUAGCUCUAGUUCUGCUCCGCUAGUUAGACCAAAGCUGCCUGAGUUUCAGGUCUUUUAUGGGGGGUGGGAUGGGAUGGGAUGGGAUGAUUAACCAUCGUUGCAUGCUGGAAAACACCUUCUCUGCGGAAACUCUUCGCCUUGGCUAGUGUGUCGUGCAGUACAGUUCUAUUCACGAUUACUUAAGAGUAGAUGUAGCUCAAGCGAUGAAAAAAAUGAAUUGGAGAGAUGGUGAGAAGGCCUUCAAUCAGAAUUGUAGCAGUCAUAUCAGGUGAAACUUGCCCCCUCUUGAAAGAUAUUCUUAAGGCAGAGAACAAAAUUAGAAGACUACAGAGCUGCUGACGUCAGAAGUGUGAAUUGCUUGAUACCAGUGUGUCAAGCCUGAACACAGUAAAUGAAGGUUAAUGAGCUGUUCACAGUGGUGGUUUCUGUGUUCAGGUGAGGAGAUUAAAUGCAUGCUUCUUUAUUGCUGACCUGGACCUUUACCUCAUAGGCCUAGACCUGCUUGAGCUGUGCACUUUGUAACAUCAUGGGUAGCCUAUCAAUUUUGGUUACUUUUGUUUGUGGAGUGCUAAACUAAACGGCCACCUUGGCACAGGGAGCCCUUGUGUGCAGUCUUGGAACUCUUCUGUAAAGGUAGCCAACAUCACUCUUUCAGAGCUGUUCAUUCUAGCUGACCCAAGAGCAUUGCCCAAUUUCUACAUGAGGUGCAUGAGCACAGUCUUAGAUCUUGGUCCCUCCCAGUCAGGAGCUGAGCCAGGUCAGUGGUUCAUAUGGAUACACCUCAGAAGAUGAAUAAUUCUUGUUUAUGUACAGUGCAUGUAUUUUGACUUUAAUGAAGGCCAUGUGCAAUUUUAAUUUUAAAAAGUGGACCUUUUACUAGGGUUUGGGAAGUACUGGCUUUAUGUGUAGUGUUUGUGUUGUCUUCUGCUCAUCCCAAUGACCCUUUUUGUUUAUUGCUUCGCAGGCAAAUACAGAUGGAAGAGCACUGUUCUAGUGUUGCAAAAUACUGUGCACUGGGAUUGCACCAACUUUAUGUAACUGUGUUGCAAUUCUUAUUUGCUUUAGCAAAGCCAGUCUGUGUGGAAACAAAAUGUAUAGACUAAAUUUAAAGGAGGAUUACACAGUGUCAACUUGGGAGACUCCAGGUGGUAGAGAAUGUUGCAGUUUUGUUAUUAUCAGAAACUGUGCUAAUCAUGUAUAUCAUUCACAUACUGAAAAAAAAACCGAGGUGACUUUGGUUGGGAAGGCAGAGAUUUUUAGCAACACUCUGCUUUUGAUGGGAGUUCAUCUGUCUCGGUUAAGAGCCUUGGGAUUAUACUGGACCCAGUGUUAUUGCUGCAGAAUGCAGCUGUAAAAAAAAGCUUUCUUCCAACUCAGCCUAGUCGAUGAGAUGGCCCCUUGUGUAUGGGUGAUCUGGCCACCUGGAUUCAUGCCUCAGUGACAGCCAGACUAAGCUAUUAUAGUGCACUGUACACUGGUCCGCCCUCAAAAUCAAUUCAGAAACUGCAGUUGGUGCAGAAUAUUUUAGCUCAAGUUAGAUGGAGCAUGUCUGUUACUCCCGUUCUACAGUCACUCACAUGGUUGCCCAUCAGCUUAGUUUAAGGAACUGCCUAUUACAUGCAAAGCCCUCCAUAGCCCUGGAUCUUCAUUUUUGCUAAACCACCUCUCCUGCUGUGCAUUACCACUUCAGCUUUACUCAUUUGAAUAAGGUCUUCUGUAGGUGCCACCCUGCAAAUGGGCAAAAUCAACAACUGUUCGUAGCUUCUCUGCAGUAGCCCCACCUUAUAGAACAACCCAUCUGAGGAGGUCAGGAAGGCUCCUGCUCGGGUAGCUUUCCACAAACUGCAAACCUGAAUUAUUCACGACAGCUUCUCUAUGCAGGCUUACAAGGUUACACUGUACUAAUAUUUUUACAAAGUUUCUUAGAUAAGUUAUCAGUGGUUGUGGUCUGAUCUACUCUAUUUAGCUUACUGAAACUAGCAUCCUACUAUGCAAUUUUUGUAUCAUUUAAUACGUUGUGUUAAGAAAUGCUUAAGUUUUGCCUCAGGUGUUUUUUUAGAUUUCUGAUUGGUUCUACAACCAUUUUUAUUGAAUACCCCACCCUGUUUGUUGUAUUGACUCUCUGUGUAAUCUGCCUUGACUCCAAGUUAGAAAGGUGGCCUGUAGAUAAUGUAAAUAAAAUAAAUGCUCCACUAGAGGGGGCGAAAGUACA